GGCAGCAGCUAAGAAUAUUCCGCAAUGGUCGAAAGACUGACGGAGCGACGCCGCGUGAAUGAUGAAGGCCGUGAGGUUGUAAAGUUCUUUUCUGGAGGGAGAAUAAGUGUUGUAGGGAAUGACAACAUGAUGACGUGAAUCCAGGAAUAAGCCCCGGCUAACUACGUGCCAGCAGCCGCGGUAACACGUAGGGGGCAAGCGUUGUUCGGAAUUAUUGGGCGUAAAGGGUGCGCAGGCGGCUUGGCAAGUCUGCUGUUAAAUGGUUGAGCUCAACUCAAUCAUGCGGUGGAAACUAUCAAGCUAGAAUCAACGAAGGGAUGCCGGAAUUCCAGGUGUAGGGGUGAAAUCUGUAGAUAUCUGGAAGAACACCAAUGGCGAGGGCAGGCAUCUGGCGACUGAUUGACGCUGAGGCACGAAGGUGCGGGGAGCAAACAGGUUUAGAUAUCCUGGUAGUCCGCACAGUAAACGAUGUGCACUAGGUGGCGGGUAGCAGUACUCGGUACCGAAGCAAACGCAUUAAGUGCACCGCCUGGGGAGUAUGCUCGCAAGGGUGAAACUCAAAGGGAAUUGACGG
rnacentral:rRNA from 1 species